rnacentral:rRNA from 1 species
AUCAACUUUCGAUGGUAGGAUAGAGGCCUACCAUGGUGGUAACGGGUAACGGGGUGUUAGGGCACGACACCGGAGAGGGAGCCUGAGAAACGGCUACCACAUCCAAGGAUGGCAGCAGGCGCGCAAAUUACCCAAUCCCGACACGGGGAGGUAGUGACAAUAAAUAACAAUACGGGGUUCUUUCGGAUUUCGUAAUUGGAAUGAGUACAAUUUAAAUCUCUUAACGAGGAACAAUUGGAGGGCAAGUCUGGUGCCAGCAGCCGCGGUAAUUCCAGCUCCAAUAGCGUAUAUUAAAGUUGCUGCAGUUAAAAAGCUCGUAGUUGAAUUUCGGGACCAAUAUGUCGGUCGUGCCUCGGUACGUACUGGCAUCGUUGGUUUCUCCCUUCUGAAGAACCAUGAUGUCAUUCAUUUGGUGUCGUGGGGAAUCAGGACUGUUACUUUGAAAAAAUUAGAGUGUUUAAAGCAGGCUCACGCUUGAAUACAUUAGCAUGGAAUAAUGAAAUAGGACGUUUGAUUCUAUUUUGUUGGUUUCUAGGAUCGACGUAAUGAUUAAUAGGGAUAGUUGGGGGCAUUAGUAUUCAAUUGCCAGAGGUGAAAUUCUUGAAUUUAUUGAAGACUAACUACUGCGAAAGCAUUUGCCAAGGAUGUUUUCAUUAAUCAAGAACGAAAGUUAGGGGAUCGAAGACGAUCAGAUACCGUCGUAGUCUUAACCAUAAACUAUGCCGACUAGGGAUCGGAUGAUGUUAAUUU